UACCAGCACCCCGAGUGGUCGGGGCGAUUAUUGGGCCUAAAGCAUCCGUAGCCGGUUUUACAAGUCCUCCGUUAAAUCCAACUGCUUAACAGAUGGGCCGCGGAGGAUACUAUAAGACUAGGAGGCAGGAGAGGCAAGCGGUACUCAGUGGGUAGGGGUAAAAUCCGUUGAUCCAUUGAAGACCACCAGUGGCGAAGGCGGCGUGCCAGAAUGCGCUCGACGGUGAGGGAUGAAAGCUGGGGGAGCAAACCGG
rnacentral:rRNA from 1 species